CCUACGGGUGGCAGCAGUGAGGAAUAUUGGUCAAUGGGCGCGAGCCUGAACCAGCCAAGUCGCGUGAGGGAAGACGGUCCUAUGGAUUGUAAACCUCUUUUGUCGGGGAGCAAAAGACGCCACGCGUGGCGUUCCGAGAGUACCCGAAGAAAAAGCAUAGGCUAACUCCGUGCAAGCAGCCGCGGUGAUACGGAGGAUGCGAGCGUUAUCCGGAUUUAUUGGGUGUAAAGGGCGUGUAGGCGGGCAUGCAAGCCAGAAGUGAAAUCUGGGGGCUUAACCCCCAAACUGCUUUUGGAACUGCGUGUCUUGAGUGAUGGCGAGGCAGGCGGAAUUCCCAGUGUAGCGGUGAAAUGCGUAGAUAUUGGGAGGAACACCAGUGGCGAAGGCGGCCUGCUGGACAUUAACUGACGCUGAGGCGCGAAAGCGUGGGGAGCAAACAGGAUUAGAUACCCCAGUAGUC
rnacentral:rRNA from 1 species